UACUAUAAAUGCCAUUUUAAAUUCAUCUCAUAGCACUUAGAACUGGUGUGGGCCUGGGGAAUCAGACUGUUUAAUUAAAACAAAGCAUUCGAUGACCCACGGCGGGUGUUGACGCAAUGUGAUUUCUGCUCAGGGCUCUAAAUGUCAAAGUGAAGAAAU
rnacentral:miRNA from 1 species